rnacentral:rRNA from 1 species
GUCUAUGGCCAUACCACUCUGAGCGUGCCUGAUUUCAUCUGAUCUUGGAAGCUAAGCAGGUUGGGCCUGGUUAAUGUAGUACUUGGAUGGGAGACUUGGGUU